UACGUAGGUGGCAAGCGUUGUCCGGAUUUACUGGGCGUAAAGAGCGCGCAGGCGGUCGUACAAGUCGCGUGUGAAAGCCCCCGGCUCAACUGGGGAGGGUCACGCGAUACUGUUCGACUCGAAGGCAGGAGAGGGAAGCAGAAUUCCCGGUGUAGUGGUGAAACGCGUAGAUAUCGGGAGGAAUACCAGUGGCGAAGGCGGCUUCCUGGCCUGUUCUUGACGCUGAGGCGCGAAAGCUAGGGUAGCAAACGGG
rnacentral:rRNA from 1 species